CCCACGUCUUCAUUGCUUAUCUUGUCCUUCGGAGAAGACCCACCUUGCAUCUCCGUUCUUCCUCCUCCGCAUAUCAUUUAUCAGUUCUCAAAGAUAUUGACUCUGGCGACAUUUACACUGCGAUGGAUAACUUUCCGUAGCGACGUGCCGAAAAACGCCUACCGUGCCUUUUUAGUAACGCUAUUUUCAGACAAAUUAUUGCAAUGGAGAGAUGUUGUUUCGCUCAACUUCUGAAAGUUGUACAUUCCCUAUCGGAUAGGUGUUUUUUUCGCACCGCUACGGAUAGCUAUAUAUCCGGUAUAAUGUAAACGUAGCCCAUAUAUAUUGGCUCUUAAUUAUUUGAAAGCCAAUAAUCGUGAAUUUAAACAGAUUUUGAUUAAGUGCAUUAUAUUAGAUUUGGCCCUGGCACUACAGAAUAUAAUAUAAUGGAAUAUAAUCGUGUUUUAAAUAUAUCGCAUCACAGCUUGAAAGAGCAUCACAAAAUUAGUAAUAUUCCGAAGUUUCGUUGCGAAAUGUUGUAAAAUGCGGAUAAUAUAGCCUUGCGAAGUUUACCGUUUUUCAGUCAUUUUGUAUUACAUUUGAAAUUGAUGAUCAGUUUGAUCAUCACUGAUUAUCAGUUUCCCGUUUGUAAUACCAAAGUGACUGAAAAACGGCAAAUUUCGCAAGGCUAUAGUAUCCGCAUUUUACAACAUUUCGCAACGAAACUUUGGAAUAUUACUAAUUUUGCUAUGCUCUUUCAAGCUGUGAUGAAAUUUUUGUCCAGACUUGUCUAGAUCAAAAUUUCACUUAAAAGGGGAAAGGUCUAUUGGUUACGAAAUUAACCUAUUGUCGAAUACAGUUAAUAUUAUAUAUGGUUACAUAUAAGUUUCACCCUAGUGACUGAGCAUAAAUAUUCAUAGUGUAUGUAAUUACACAGUUUCCUCUUAAUCAGAGACAAGUCUAGCUUGCGUCCACGCAUUACGGAUGAUCUUCUCAACCUUGGGUGCUUCGGGAUGUUUUAGGAUAUGAGGAGCAAAUGCUCCGUCUGGAGGCGCAUCAUCAGCAGGACGAUGUGACGCACCGCUAUCCUUAUCUUCUGAGUAAAUCUCGAGAAUCUUGGCCCUCCAACAACAGCAGAAUCUAGUCUCCUUCAGUUCCAAAUCUUUCAGGAAACGAUAGUCGAUGUACUCUUGGUUCACUG